AACGAACGCUGGCGGCAUGCCUAGCACAUGCAAGUCGAACGAGACCUUCGGGUCUAGUGGCGCACGGGUGCGUAACGCGUGGGAACCUGCCCUUAGGUUCGGAAUAACUCCCCGAAAGGGGUGCUAAUACCGGAUAAUGUCUUCGGACCAAAGAUUUAUCGCCUUUGGAUGGGCCCGCGUUGGAUUAGCUAGUUGGUAGGGUAAAAGCCUACCAAGGCGACGAUCCAUAGCUGGUCUGAGAGGAUGAUCAGCCACACUGGGACUGAGACACGGCCCAGACUCCUACGGGAGGCAGCAGUGGGGAAUAUUGGACAAUGGGCGGAAGCCUGAUCCAGCAAUGCCGCGUGAGUGAUGAAGGCCUUAGGGUUGUAAAGCUCUUUUACCCGGGAUGAUAAUGACAGUACCGGGAGAAUAAGCACCGGCUAACUCCGUG
rnacentral:rRNA from 1 species